GGGGUGGUUCAUAUCCUUUUGCUCUCAAAAGUCUAACCCCAUUCCUAAAACCCCAAAUAAAAAAUCAAAUUGAGGAGGCAGCAUUCAACGCAAUUUGAUUGUUUAUGGGCAAAUCUAUUCCUUCUGCUCACAAUCUCCAGCACUUUGCUCGGGUCAUUGCUUCCGCCACCACCAGGCCCCGCCGAGCCGCCCAAUUGAGACCCGUAUCCAAGACCCGACCCAUCUCUUCUCCUGACGCUACUGGGUCCAGACCCGACUCGCACCAGCUAAGGCUAAAAGCUCCGGCUCGGCAAAUGGAGGACGCGGAGAACUCGGAGCGGCGGAGGAUGCCGCUUUCGGAGGUGGUGGCGGACUGUGUGAAGCGGUGGUUCCAGGAUACACUGAAAGAAGCCAAGAAUGGUGAUAUUGCUAUGCAGGUGCUUGUGGGCCAGAUGUAUUAUAGCGGAUAUGGGGUUGCUAGAGAUGCCCAGAAGGGAAGAGCAUGGAUCAACAGGGCCUCGAAGAGUCGGUCUUCAGUAUGGAAAGUAGGCGAUAAACAUCCAGGUUAUAAUGCUAGUGAUUCAGAUUCUGAUGAUGUGAAGAAAGACGCCAAAUAGGAUAAGAUGUGGUUUAACUGGUAACGUAAACCAAUGGCAAAGUUACCUGUAGAUACCCUUCCUUGGAACGGAUGGUCUUGUGUAUAUCCCCCGGGAGGAGCAUCAUCACCUCAAAUUUACAACAAUUAGGUUUCUGUGCACCCACUGACUCACGCAUAACAGAUCACAGGAAUGAACAGCUUUUAUGAAUAUUCAUGUGUAUUUGAGUGCUACCCCAGUGUGUAUGUGGCUAUCAGGCUUCUGCAACAGGUGAUGCAGGCUGCGGGAUACAAAUUGCACCAUUUUCCUUUACAAUAAGUCAUUUUCUGAAUUUUCUCUCCCAGGCACUUCACUUCCGAAGUGUUCUUGUUUGUCUUUGUUGAUUUAUGUUGAAGAGUUGUUUAUAUACACAGUUCUUUGGGCGUAUGUUUCUGAAUACCAAAAAGGGGGUGGAAAGAGAAGGGAAAUGUUCCUUUUU